CACGUAGGGCGCAAGCGUUGUCCGGAAUUAUUGGGCGUAAAGAGCUCGUAGGCGGCUUGUCACGUCGGGUGUGAAAGCCCGGGGCUUAACCCCGGGUCUGCAUUCGAUACGGGCAGGCUAGAGUGUGGUAGGGGAGAUCGGAAUUCCUGGUGUAGCGGUGAAAUGCGCAGAUAUCAGGAGGAACACCGGUGGCGAAGGCGGAUCUCUGGGCCAUUACUGACGCUGAGGAGCGAAAGCGUGGGGAGCGAACAGG
rnacentral:rRNA from 1 species